CUGCAUCUGUAUCAGCAUCAGCAUCUGCAUCUGCACCAACUGUGAGUGAACCAGGCUUCAAGGAGGCUAGCUUUCCUGCAACCUACCCUGGCUGACACCACAU
rnacentral:miRNA from 1 species